rnacentral:rRNA from 1 species
UGGGGAAUUUUGGACAAUGGGCGAAAGCCUGAUCCAGCAAUGCCGCGUGUGUGAAGAAGGCCUUCGGGUUGUAAAGCACUUUUGUCCGGAAAGAAAUCCUUGGCUCUAAUACAGUCGGGGGAUGACGGUACCGGAAGAAUAAGCACCGGCUAACUACGUGCCAGCAGCCGCGGUAAUACGUAGGGUGCAAGCGUUAAUCGGAAUUACUGGGCGUAAAGCGUGCGCAGGCGGUUUGCUAAGACCGAUGUGAAAUCCCCGGGCUCAACCUGGGAACUGCAUUGGUGACUGGCAGGCUAGAGUAUGGCAGAGGGGGGUAGAAUUCCACGUGUAGCAGUGAAAUGCGUAGAGAUGUGGAGGAAUACCGAUGGCGAAGGCAGCCCCCUGGGCCAAUACUGACGUUCAUGCACGAAAGCGUGGGGAGCAAACAGGAUUAGAUACCCUGGUAGUCCACGCCCUAAACGAUGUCAACUAGUUGUUGGGGAUUCAUUUCCUUAGUAACGUAGCUAACGCGUGAGGUUGACCGCCUGGGGAGUACGGUCGCAAGAUUAAAACUCAAAUGAAUUGACGGGGUCAUAGCUGUUUCCU